AGAGUUUGAUCAUGGCUCAGGACGAACGCUGGCGGCGUGCUUAACACAUGCAAGUCGAACGAAGUUAAGCGCUGGUCUGAUGCUAGCUUGCUAGUGGAUUUCCUUGCUUAACUUAGUGGCGGACGGGUGAGUAACGCGUGAGUAACCUGCCCUUGAGUGGGGAAUAACGCCCUGAAAAGAGCGCUAAUACCGCAUAACACAUAUUUGCCGCAUGACAGAUGUGUCAAAGAUUUAUCGCUGAAGGAUGGACUCGCGUCCGAUUAGCUAGUUGGUGAGGUAACGGCCCACCAAGGCGACGAUCGGUAGCCGGACUGAGAGGUUGAACGGCCACAUUGGGACUGAGACACGGCCCAGACUCCUACGGGAGGCAGCAGUGGGGGAUAUUGCGCAAUGGGGGAAACCCUGACGCAGCAACGCCGCGUGGAGGAUGACGGUUUUCGGAUUGUAAACUCCUUUUAUAAGGGACGAACUAAGACGGUACCUUAUGAAUAAGCUCCGGCUAACUACGUGCCAGCAGCCGCGGUAAUACGUAGGGAGCAAGCGUUGUCCGGAUUUACUGGGUGUAAAGGGUGCGUAGGCGGCUUGGCAAGUCAGAUGUGAAAUGCAGAGGCUCAACCUCUGAACUGCAUUUGAAACUGUCAGGCUUGAGUGAAGUAGAGGCAGGCGGAAUUCCCUGUGUAGCGGUGAAAUGCGUAGAGAUAGGGAGGAACACCAGUGGCGAASGCGGCSUGCUGGGCUUUAACUGACGCUGAGGCACGAAAGCGUGGGUAGCAAACAGGAUUAGAUACCCUGGUAGUCCACGCUGUAAACGAUGAUUACUAGGUGUGGGUGGACUGACCCCAUCCGUGCCGCAGUUAACACAAUAAGUAAUCCACCUGGGGAGUACGGCCGCAAGGUUGAAACUCAAAGGAAUUGACGGGGGCCCGCACAAGCAGUGGAGUAUGUGGUUUAAUUCGAAGCAACGCGAAGAACCUUACCAGGUCUUGACAUCGAGUGACGAUCUUAGAGAUAAGAUUUUCCUUCGGGACACGAAGACAGGUGGUGCAUGGUUGUCGUCAGCUCGUGUCGUGAGAUGUUGGGUUAAGUCCCGCAACGAGCGCAACCCUUGCUAUUAGUUGCUACGCAAGAGCACUCUAAUAGGACUGCCGUUGACAAAACGGAGGAAGGUGGGGACGACGUCAAAUCAUCAUGCCCCUUAUGACCUGGGCUACACACGUACUACAAUGGCCGGCAACAGAGGGAAGCGAAGCCGCGAGGCGGAGCGAACCCCAAAAACCCGGUCCCAGUUCGGAUCGCAGGCUGCAACCCGCCUGCGUGAAGUCGGAAUCGCUAGUAAUCGCAGGUCAGCAUACUGCGGUGAAUACGUUCCCGGGCCUUGUACACACCGCCCGUCACACCACGAAAGUUGGUAACACCCGAAGCCGGUGGGGUAACCUUAGGGAGCCAGCAGUCUAAGGUGGGGCCGAUGAUUGGGGUGAAGUCGUAACAAGGUAACCGUA
rnacentral:rRNA from 1 species